AUACUUACCUGACGCAAGAGGCACCUUGAUCAACUAGAAGGUCCUCUCAGGAUGAGGCCCUUUCAUUGCACUUCGACUGGGUUGACUCCUGCGAUUACCCCUAAUGUGGGUAACUCGAGCGUAUAAUUUCUGGUAGUGGGGACCUGCGUUCGCGCUCGUCCCCU
rnacentral:snRNA from 1 species